GCGGAGUACGGGGAGCUCCCCUGAGGAUGCUUCCUGUCCUUCCUGGCACUCAUGCCACGCCCUGCACCUCUAGCUCCUACCACGUGACCGAACGGGUCACGGGUCCAACCCAGCAACUGCCACUUCUGUACCAGCUGGCUGAGACCACAGGGCCACGGUGUUGGGACGGAUGGCUUGGGUGCCAUCUUGUGUAAGCACGGCUCCUCUAGCUCACUGCAGAAACAGAGAGAUGGCAUGUUAACAGCAGCUGGAGGCUCUCACUGAGAUUCAGAGGAAACUAUGACAGGUCCGCGACCUUGAGAUAAUUAUUUAAACACAGCAUUUGGAGACCUGGGAACCUUCCAGCACCACAGCAAGGAUAAUGUGAGAUGCCAGGCCUAGCACCUCCAUCCCUCGCCUCAGAAAGUCUCUCCUCUCCCCUCCCCUCAGGAAGCUGCAAAGAGCCAGCAGAGCAGUCAAACUGAAUUUGAAUCUGCUUCUCCACUUGGUAGCGAUGGGACGCUGGGUCUUACUCUCUGAAUCUCGAAGAACUGUGGAGUGGAUGUACCUGCCUCAUAAGAUUGUUCAGGGAACUAAAUGGGAAAAAGGACAUGAAGGGGAGAGCAUGCUAUCUGACUCAAAUAAACCAUUAUCAUCAUUGUGACAAUGAUAAUGAUUAAUUGUGUUAAGAAGAUCCAAGAUCCAGGACACAGAACACGUUAGGAACAGCCGAGUCACCCUAACUGCCCACUAGGGCACACAAAUGGAGGUGAGGAGCGGAGAGGCGGGGCUUGAGGCUGGAAGUUGGGUACCACAAAAGCAGCAGCAGCUAAGGUGCUAAGGUGAUUUACAGGGAUGAAAAAAGCCUUGGGGUUUUGUGUUUCUGUUC
rnacentral:lncRNA from 1 species